UAGGGAAUAUUAGUAAUGGGCGAAAGCCUGAACUAGCAACGCCGCGUGCGCGAAGAAGGCCUUCGGGUUGUAAAGCACUUUUUGAGAGGAUGAGGAAGGACGGUACUCUCAGAAUAAGUCUCGGCUAACUACGUGCCAGCAGCCGCGGUAACACGUAGGAGGCAAACGUUAUCCGGAUUUACUGGGCGUAAAGCGCUUGUAGGUGGUUUGGUAAGUAGGGCGUGAAAGCUCCUGGCUCAACUGGGAGAGGCCGUUCUAAACUGCCGAACUAGAGGAUGGUAGAGGGAGGUGGAAUUCCGGGUGUAGCGGUGGAAUGCGCAGAUAUCCGGAGGAACACCAGUGGCGAAAGCGGCCUCCUGGACCAUUCCUGACACUCAGACGCGAAAGCUAGGGUAGCAAACGG
rnacentral:rRNA from 1 species